AUAAGAAUAAGAUGACUGCAUGUAUUACAAGGAAAAGGAAUCCGUGCAUGUACUUGUUAAGAAUCUUUUAAAAUUUUAGUUCAUCUUAUUAUCUAUCCCAGGCCUGAUUGACAAUUAGAAUACGUCUUUCUUUCUUUCCCUUGUCCUAGUUCUUUCUUCAUUACAAUAUUACGUGCAAAGGUUACAGUGAUAAAACUUCAAAAGACGAAGGAGAACUAUACUGAAGUAUUUGAAUAUACAAAA
rnacentral:misc_RNA from 1 species